rnacentral:misc_RNA from 1 species
CCGAGAGAAGAGCCUCCCCUUUCCUUCCCUCUCCCCCAGAGGAGGUGAAGGGGGGGUAACCUUCACAAAACCCUUCCUGCGUACCUUUACCACGUUGCCUCCGUGGGGGCUGGCGAGGGCCGCUGAGAAGCGUCCCGGUGCCUCCGGGGUGGGGAGCCGUCAAGGCUUUCCCCCGCCUCCAGCCCACGGAGGGGCUACAACACAAACCAUUUGCUGUAGAACCGAUCGCAGUCUGUCCACCGCUUCCGCGAGGAAGAGGGGAUAAAAGAAAACAAGUCA